rnacentral:rRNA from 1 species
AUUGAACGCUGGCGGCAGGCCUAACACAUGCAAGUCGAGCGGAGCGGCGGACGGGUGAGUAAUGCUUAGAAAUCUGCCUGUUAGUGGGGGAGAACGACCAGCAACGGAAGCUAAUACCGCAUACUAUCAGAUGAGCCUCAGUCGGAUUAGCUAGGUGGGGGGGUAAAGGCCUACAAAGGCACCGAUCCGGAACUGGUCUGAGAGGAUGAUCAGACACACGGGGACUGAGACACGGCCCAGACUCCUACGGGAGGCAGAAGUGGGGAAUAUGGGACAAUGGGCGAAAGCCUGAUCAAGCCAUCCCGCGUGUGUGAGGAAGGCCUUCGGAUUGUAAAGCCCUUUAGGUUGGGAGGCGUUACCAGCAGAAUAAGCACCGGCUAACUUCGUGCCAGCAGCCGCGGUAAUAC